rnacentral:rRNA from 1 species
GACGAACGCUGGCGGCGUGCCUAAUACAUGCAAGUCGAGCGGACAGAAGGGAGCUUGCUCCCGGAAGUCAGCGGCGGACGGGUGAGUAACACGUGGGCAACCUGCCUGUCAGGCUGGGAUAACUUCGGGAAACCGGAGCUAAUACCGGAUAGGUUCUUCCUCCGCAUGGGGGAAGCUGGAAAGACGGUUUCGGCUGUCACUUACAGCUGGGCCCGCGGCGCAUUAGCUAGUUGGUGGGGUAAUGGCCCACCAAGGCGACGAUGCGUAGCCGACCUGAGAGGGUGAUCGGCCACACUGGGACUGAGACACGGCCCAGACUCCUACGGGAGGCAGCAGUAGGGAAUCUUCCGCAAUGGACGAAAGUCCGACGGAGCAACGCCGCGUGAGCGAAGAAGGCCUUCGGGUCGUAAAGCUCUGUUGUUAGGGAAGAACAAGUGCCAGAGUAACUGCUGGCACCUUGACGGUACCUGACUAGAAAGCCACGGCUAACUACGUGCCAGCCGCCGCCGUAA